GACGAACGCUGGCGGCGUGCCUAAUACAUGCAAGUAGAACGCUGAAGGAGGAGCUUGCUCUUCUGGAUGAGUUGCGAACGGGUGAGUAACGCGUAGGUAACCUGCCUGGUAGCGGGGGAUAACUAUUGGAAACGAUAGCUAAUACCGCAUAACAGUAGAUGUUGCAUGACAUUUGCUUAAAAGGUGCAAUUGCACCACUACCAGAUGGACCUGCGUUGUAUUAGCUAGUUGGUGGGGUAACGGCUCACCAAGGCGACGAUACAUAGCCGACCUGAGAGGGUGAUCGGCCACACUGGGACUGAGACACGGCCCAGACUCCUACGGGAGGCAGCAGUAGGGAAUCUUCGGCAAUGGACGGAAGGCUGACCGAGCAACGCCGCGUGAGUGAAGAAGGGUUUCGGAUCGUAAAGCUCUGUUGUAAGAGAAGAACGAGUGUGAGAGUGGAAAGUUCACACUGUGACGGUAUCUGACCAGAAAGGGACGGCUAACUACGUG
rnacentral:rRNA from 1 species